GCGCAGCCCCGGCCCCCCGGGCUGAAUGGUACGGCCCCGGCCCCGGCCUCCCCCUCCGCACCCCGCGCGAGUGGUGCGCGCCCCCCAGUGCAGACGCGGAACUGGCGCCCGCUCGGAGCGGCGCCGCGCUGGGGAACGACUGACGCCCCGCUGCCGGGGGACGUCGGGCCGGGCCUGGUCAGUGCCCUAGAGCUUGGGAGACUUCGAUUUUCAUAAUUCCUCCCGGGAAUGCUGACUCCUUGCUUGGUGCCCUGAUGCUUCUCUGAGAUGAACUGAUGAAUUGGAACCAUGGUGCAAAAGAAGAAGUUCUGUCCUCGGUUACUUGACUAUCUAGUGAUCGUAGGGGCCAGGCACCCAAGUAGUGAUAGUGUGGCCCAGACUCCUGAACUGCUACGGCGAUACCCCUUAGAGGAUCACGCCGAGUUUCCCCUGCCCCCAGAUGUAGUGUUCUUCUGCCAGCCCGAGGGCUGCCUGAGCGUGCGGCAGCGGCGCAUGAGCCUUCGGGAUGAUACCUCUUUUGUCUUCACCCUCACUGACAAGGACACUGGAGUCACGCGAUAUGGCAUCUGUGUUAACUUCUACCGCUCCUUCCAAAAGCGAAUCCCUAAGGAGAAGGGGGAAGGUGGGGCAGGGCCCCGUGGGAAGGAAGGAACCCGUGCCACCUGUGCCUCAGAAGAGGGUGGCACUGAGAGCUCAGAGAGCGGCUCAUCCCUGCAGCCUCCCAGUGCCGACUCUACCCCUGAUGUGAACCAGUCUCCUCGGGGCAAACGCCGGCCCAAGGCGGGGAGCCGUUCCCGCAACAGUACUCUCACGUCCCUGUGCGUGCUCAGCCACUACCCUUUCUUCUCCACCUUCCGAGAGUGUUUGUAUACCCUCAAGCGCCUGGUGGACUGCUGUAGUGAGCGCCUGCUGGGCAAGAAACUGGGCAUCCCUCGAGGCGUACAAAGGGACACCAUGUGGCGGAUCUUUACUGGAUCGCUGCUGGUGGAGGAGAAGUCAAGUGCCCUUCUGCAUGACCUUCGAGAGAUUGAGGCCUGGAUCUAUCGAUUGCUGCGCUCCCCAGUACCCGUCUCUGGGCAGAAGCGAGUAGACAUCGAGGUCCUACCCCAAGAGCUCCAGCCAGCUCUGACCUUUGCUCUUCCAGACCCAUCUCGAUUCACCCUAGUGGAUUUCCCACUGCACCUUCCCUUGGAACUUCUAGGUGUGGACGCCUGUCUCCAGGUGCUAACCUGCAUUCUCUUAGAGCACAAGGUGGUGCUACAGUCCCGAGACUACAAUGCACUCUCCAUGUCUGUGAUGGCAUUCGUGGCAAUGAUCUACCCACUGGAGUAUAUGUUUCCUGUCAUCCCGCUGCUACCUACCUGCAUGGCAUCCGCAGAGCAGCUGUUGUUGGCUCCAACCCCGUACAUCAUUGGGGUUCCUGCCAGCUUCUUCCUCUACAAACUGGACUUCAAAAUGCCUGAUGAUGUAUGGCUAGUGGAUCUGGACAGCAACAGGGUGAUUGCCCCCACCAAUGCAGAAGUGCUGCCUAUCCUGCCAGAACCAGAAUCACUAGAGCUGAAAAAGCAUUUAAAGCAGGCCUUGGCCAGCAUGAGUCUCAACACCCAGCCCAUCCUCAAUCUGGAGAAAUUUCAUGAGGGCCAGGAGAUCCCCCUUCUCUUGGGAAGGCCUUCUAAUGACCUGCAGUCCACACCCUCCACUGAAUUCAACCCACUCAUCUAUGGCAAUGACGUGGAUUCUGUGGAUGUUGCAACCAGGGUCGCCAUGGUACGGUUCUUCAACUCCGCCAAUGUGCUGCAGGGAUUUCAGAUGCACACACGUACCCUGCGCCUCUUUCCUCGGCCUGUGGUAGCUUUUCAAGCUGGCUCCUUUCUAGCGUCACGUCCCCGGCAGACUCCUUUUGCCGAGAAAUUGGCCAGGACUCAGGCUGUGGAGUACUUUGGGGAAUGGAUCCUUAACCCCACCAACUAUGCCUUUCAGCGAAUUCACAACAAUAUGUUUGAUCCAGCCCUGAUUGGUGACAAGCCAAAGUGGUAUGCUCAUCAGCUGCAGCCUAUCCACUAUCGCGUCUAUGACAGCAAUUCCCAGCUGGCUGAGGCCCUGAGUGUACCACCAGAGCGGGACUCUGACUCCGAACCUACUGAUGAUAGUGGCAGUGAUAGUAUGGAUUAUGACGAUUCAAGCUCUUCUUACUCCUCCCUUGGUGACUUUGUCAGUGAAAUGAUGAAAUGUGACAUUAAUGGUGAUACUCCCAAUGUGGACCCUCUGACGCAUGCAGCACUGGGGGAUGCCAGCGAGGUGGAGAUUGACGAGCUGCAGAAUCAGAAGGAAGCAGAAGAACCUGGCCCAGACAGUGAGAACUCUCAGGAAAACCCUCCACUGCGCUCCAGCUCCAGCACCACAGCCAGCAGCAGCCCCAGCACCGUCAUCCACGGAGCCAACUCCGAACCUGCUGACUCUACGGAGAUGGAUGAUAAGGCAGCAGUAGGCGUCUCCAAGCCCCUCCCUUCCAUGCCUCCCAGCAUUGGCAAGUCGAACGCGGACAGACGUCAGGCAGAAAUUGGAGAGGGGUCAGUGCGCCGGCGAAUCUAUGACAAUCCAUACUUCGAGCCCCAAUAUGGCUUUCCCCCUGAGGAAGAUGAGGAUGAGCAGGGGGAAAGUUACACUCCCCGAUUCAGCCAACAUGUCAGUGGCAAUCGGGCUCAGAAGCUGCUGCGGCCCAACAGCUUGAGACUGGCAAGUGACUCAGAUGCAGAGUCAGACUCUCGGGCAAGCUCUCCCAACUCCACCGUCUCCAACACCAGCACCGAGGGCUUCGGGGGCAUCAUGUCUUUUGCCAGCAGCCUCUAUCGGAACCACAGUACCAGCUUCAGUCUUUCAAACCUCACACUGCCCACCAAAGGUGCCCGAGAGAAGGCCACGCCCUUCCCCAGUCUGAAAGUAUUUGGGCUAAAUACUCUAAUGGAGAUUGUUACUGAAGCCGGCCCCGGGAGUGGUGAAGGAAACAGGAGGGCGUUAGUGGAUCAGAAGUCAUCUGUCAUUAAACACAGCCCAACAGUGAAAAGAGAACCUCCAUCACCUCAGGGACGAUCCAGCAAUUCUAGUGAGAACCAGCAGUUCCUGAAGGAGGUGGUGCACAGCGUGCUGGACGGCCAGGGAGUUGGCUGGCUCAACAUGAAAAAGGUGCGCCGGCUGCUGGAGAGCGAGCAGCUGCGAGUCUUUGUCCUGAGCAAGCUGAACCGCACAGUGCAGUCAGAGGACGAUGCCCGGCAGGACAUCAUCCCGGAUGUGGAGAUCAGUCGGAAGGUGUACAAGGGAAUGUUAGACCUCCUCAAGUGUACAGUCCUCAGCUUGGAGCAGUCCUAUGCCCACGCGGGUCUGGGUGGCAUGGCCAGCAUCUUUGGGCUUCUGGAGAUCGCCCAGACCCACUACUAUAGUAAAGAACCAGACAAGCGGAAGAGAAGUCCAACAGAAAGUGUAAAUACCCCAGUUGGCAAGGAUCCUGGCCUAGCUGGGCGGGGGGACCCAAAGGCUAUGGCACAGCUGAGAGUUCCCCAGCUGGGACCUCGGGCACCAAGUGCCACAGGAAAGGGUCCUAAGGAACUGGACACCAAAAGUUUAAAGGAAGAAAAUUUUAUAGCGUCUAUUGAAUUGUGGAACAAGCACCAGGAAGUGAAAAAGCAAAAAGCUUUGGAAAAACAGAGGCCGGAAGUAAUCAAACCUGUCUUUGACCUUGGCGAGACAGAGGAGAAAAAGUCCCAGAUCAGCGCAGAUAGCGGUGUGAGCCUGACGUCUAGUUCCCAGAGGACUGGUCAAGGCUCUGUCAUCGGCGUGAGUCCAGCUGCUAUGAUCCGCAGUUCAAGCCAGGAUUCUGAAGUUAGCACCGUGGUGAGUAAUAGCUCUGGAGAGACACUUGGAGCUGACAGUGACUUGAGCAGCAAUGCAGGUGAUGGACCAGGUGGCGAGGGCAGUGUUCACCUGGCAAGCUCUCGGGGCACUUUGUCUGAUAGUGAAAUUGAGACCAACUCUGCCACAAGCACCAUCUUUGGUAAAGCCCACAGCUUGAAGCCAAGCGUAAAGGAGAAGCUGGCAGGCAGCCCCAUUCGUACUUCUGAAGAUGUGAGCCAGCGAGUCUAUCUCUAUGAGGGACUCCUAGGAAGGGACAAAGGAUCCAUGUGGGACCAGUUAGAGGAUGCUGCUAUGGAGACCUUUUCUAUAAGCAAAGAGCGUUCUACUUUAUGGGACCAAAUGCAAUUCUGGGAAGAUGCCUUCUUAGAUGCUGUGAUGUUGGAGAGAGAAGGGAUGGGUAUGGACCAGGGUCCUCAGGAAAUGAUCGACAGGUACCUGUCCCUGGGAGAACAUGACCGGAAGCGCCUGGAAGAUGAUGAAGAUCGCUUGCUGGCCACACUUUUGCACAACCUCAUCUCCUACAUGCUGCUGAUGAAGGUAAAUAAGAAUGACAUCCGCAAGAAGGUGAGGCGCCUAAUGGGAAAGUCACACAUUGGGCUUGUGUACAGCCAGCAAAUCAAUGAGGUGCUUGAUCAGCUGGCGAACCUGAAUGGACGCGAUCUCUCUAUCUGGUCCAGUGGCAGCCGGCACAUGAAGAAGCAGACAUUUGUGGUACAUGCAGGGACAGAUACAAACGGAGAUAUCUUUUUCAUGGAGGUGUGCGACGACUGUGUGGUGCUGCGUAGUAACAUCGGAACAGUGUAUGAGCGCUGGUGGUACGAGAAGCUCAUCAACAUGACCUACUGUCCCAAGACCAAGGUGUUGUGCUUGUGGCGUAGAAAUGGCUCUGAGACCCAGCUCAACAAGUUCUAUACUAAAAAGUGUCGGGAGCUGUACUACUGUGUGAAGGACAGCAUGGAGCGCGCUGCCGCCCGACAGCAAAGCAUCAAACCCGGACCUGAAUUGGGUGGCGAGUUCCCUGUGCAGGACAUGAAGACUGGUGAGGGUGGCCUGCUGCAGGUGACCCUGGAAGGGAUCAACCUCAAAUUCAUGCACAACCAGUGUUACCUUUUUCUCUCAGUGGACAUUCCUUAAGCUAAUUCCUUUCUGAGGCCAGCGCAUCAUCCCAGGUCCGUUCACAGCUCUGACUCCUCACACAAGUGCCUUCCCUCCUCUUUCCCUGAUGUCCGGGUUCCUCUCCCUGAGGCUCUGAGCCAGACCCGAAUGUGUGAAGCCCCACAGCCCCUGGCCAGGCCGCAGACCCUCAGGGGAGGUGGAUGCCUGACUGACGUGGCUGUCUCCCUCCCUCUGCUAGCCGUUGUAGCUCUCUUUCAGGAACGUAGCUGGGCAGCUUUGGUUUAACAGGAAACGGCUGCCCAGGCUGCCAGCAGCCCCUUAGUGUAUUUUCAAUCUAGGACUUAGGGCAGUAGCCAACCCCAAAGACCUUAGGACCAGCCCAGAGAGGGGUCUACCUAAGUGCUUUUCUGGACCACAAAGGUGUCAGUACUUCUUGGGGAGCAGACUUCUGACCACAUUUUAGCGCCGUGGCCUCCCCUUCUGAAGAUGAGAUCUUGCUGAGCAAUGCCCAGGUGCUGUGCCCUGUUCCUUGUCCUGCCCUUGGCAUAGCCCCUCUGGGCAGCCAUCCAAGCUAGUCUGUGGUUGAAGGCUUGGCCCCUAGAAGAUCGAUUGUGCAGAGAAGGGGAGGAAAGCCCGGGUUCUCAGUCUCACCUCACAGUUAAUAAUGAGAUAGCGACCUGCCCCCUCUUCUGCCACACAGUGGUCAUUUGGAGUGGAGGAGGCAGCAGACCUCCUGGUGGAGCUGUGCAGUCUGGGGUGAAUGGGAAAAGCACAGGCUUUGGUGUCAGGACGUGCUUGGAUUUGAAGUCCAGCUUCCACGUUCGUGGGCAGAGAAACUUUUUGAUCCAUAGUUUCCUCAUGUAGAAAAUCCAAAGUUUUCCUCAUAUAGGCGUAAUACUAUAUACUGUGUCACAUAGUAGGUGCAGAGAUUAGAAAUAGUAUUUGUAAAACCCCAAGUAGGUGCUCAGCAAGUGGUAGCUGAUAAUUAUUGUCACCACAUACCUCUUGGGAGAUCCUGGAUCCUGUUUCAAGGAGGAUACCAACACCUCCCACCCCGAGGACAGUCUGAGGGGAGCUUUGCGCCCGUGCCAGCCCUCUGCGCCGGAGGAGGAUGCAUGGAAGGGUAGAGACCUAAUGGGCUGAGUGGGGACCCCUGGGGCACCGUGUCUUACAAGCACUGCCCUGGGCAGAGGGUAUGGGCGGGCAGCCCAGGCCAGCAGCGGGGCCUUCGGGUUGGGUUUGACCAUUCAAACUAACGCCUUCAUUUCUCUCCCAUGCUUUCUCCUCCGGCCAGGAGCGGAAGGUUUUCAUAGAGCUGAAUCACAUUAAAAAGUGCAAUACAGUUCGAGGCGUCUUUGUCCUGGAGGAAUUUGUUCCUGAAAUUAAAGAAGUGGUGAGCCACAAGUACAAGACACCAAUG